UGCUGCAUAAUGUUAUGAAGAAACCUGCUGUGAUGAGCUGUCCAAGGUCACAUCUGUGGAAAGCAACACCUUUUCUUCCAACAGACCUAGUUCAGUUUAACCAGGACAAGAGUGAGGAAAGUGACGACUGACUGAUGAUACAUUACGACUGCAGUGGGAAAAAAAUCAAAAGCACAAUCAUUUAAUAAUACAACACCAAGUGACACUUUUGCAGGCAGCAGAUCUCAGGUAGUCAGCAAACCCUUUGACUGUGAAACAUUAAAAAUCAUCCAAUGGGGAAAACCUCCAUCCAGAGCAGAAAGACUAAGCAAACCUCUGGGACCACCAAACUCAUUAAGGACCACUUCCCAGAGGCCUGAUCCAAGAGCACAGAUCCUUCUUUUUUUUUUGUUUCUAUGGCGACUGGUCUAUGCUGGAUCAUCAUUAUCCAAAGGAAAGGCAACUUUCUGCAUUCCUGAAGCAUGACGAAAAACCCGGCGGAGCUCAGAAUUUGGCAGAGCUGCAGCUACACGGCCUGCGAGGAGCUCCGCACAAUGACAUGCCUCUGCGACGACACACACGAAGUGACAGCCAUGUAAGCUCAGACGCAUAUGCAUUUUACACCGCGGUGACUCUGAAUACCAGUCACCUGUUGGACAUGUCACACCUCCGUAGUGAAAACAAUUUCAAGUUUCAUCAGCG
rnacentral:lncRNA from 1 species